GUGAAUCAUCGAAUUUUUGAACGCAAAUUGCACUCUCUUCGAAGAUUAUGCCUGUUUGAGGGUCAGCCUAUAAAAAAUCAACAUCGUCGCUGUUUCGCGGUGGCGUUCGUCGGAAAUUGGUCAUUCUUAAUUCCUUUUGAUUUAAGCUACUUAAAUUUUUCUUUUGUUUCCAUGAACGUUUCUAAGAUCUAUUUUUUUACACUUUUAAGGUAUCGAUUUUUAUUAGACUUGACCAUAAUAUCGAAUCUCG
rnacentral:misc_RNA from 1 species